GAUGCCAAAAAAUGAAAAUUUGAGUAUUCCGGAACUCUUGAGACGAAAAUGGUAAAAAAAAUUAGAAACGAAAAAUAUACCCUAUUUAUAUGAGGGUAUUUUGGUAAAAAAAAUUUAAAUGUAAGGGUGUGGGUUCAAUUGUAGGGAUAGGAAACACACGAAUCCCAGGUGAAAGUCCUCCAUGACCUAUCCCGUGAUUCACAAAGCCAGAAGUAUCCGGUUCCACCAUCAAACACAGUGCUUAGGUUAGAACGCUUGGAAAGGUUCAUUCACGGUCACAACGCUCUCACCCACAAAAUCUCCGGCGAGAAACUCACUACGAUCUCGCGCACAACGAAGGAUGAGCGAAGAAUCAUGAACGCAGGUUCAACGUCGCUCUAAGAAUCAAGAACAAAUUUCGGAACCUCUUCCGAACUCAACAUUGGAUCACAAUCAACCGCGACAAAGAUCGCUUAACAACUUGUUCUUGCGCGUAGGACCGAAAAGGGACGAGUUGUGGCCGAAAUUUGGUGAUUGAAAGAAGAAGCCUUACCGUCACGAAUUCUUCGACGCGGCGAUUUCAGGUUCUGAUCUUCUUCUUCUUCUGAUGUGUGAGGUUGAUGAUUGGAGUGUGAUGAGGGAUUGAUGUUUACGCCAGAUCUUGUGCUUUCAUUCUUCUACACCAUAAUUCGGAUUUUUGUUGGAUUUCUUCUCUUAUUAUAUUUCUGUUUCAUUCAACCUCUGUUAUCCACUCGUGAACUCUUUUGGGAAGCCCUUUUGUGAAGGUUUUGGGGGAAUUCUCGAGGUUGAAAUUCGGUUGCGGAUUGAGGAAGAAGCGAACUGGUUAGGUUCUGUGGAGAGAGGUUUGUUCUGUUGAAGGGGUUUGGUUAGAGUUUUUGUUAAAGGUUCGGUUUCAAGUUGUUGGCAGGUUGUGAUGGAAGAGGUUCAAGAUUGGUUUUUUCUAAAGAAGAUUGGAUGGUGAAGUUCUGGUGGGUGUUGUUUUUGAUUCUGCAGAGUUGAGGAAGAGGGUUGGUUGGUGAUUGUGGAAGUUAUGGUUGCGAAGAGAGUUGAGGAGAGUAUGGAUUGAUGCAAGGUUCUGCUAUGAGGGAUUUUUGGAGGUUGCAGGGUGUGGAUUGAAAAGUUGUUAGAAGUGUGGAGGAUGGUUGAGUUAGUUGAUGAAAUUGGAGAAGUUUAGAGUUUUUGCAGGUUUGAUUGGGAGUUAUGGAAUCAGUUAGUGAGUGUUAUGGUUCUGUUAUAUCAGGUUGCGGGAAUUUAGCAGGUUUUUCUGGAUGGUUUAUAGUGGAGUUUGUUAGCAGGUUGAGAGGGUUUCUUCAUGUGAUUGAAGCUGGGGGUUGGUUAGAAAAAAGAAGGGUUAUAGCAGAAGGUUGAAGAUGGUUAGUAUCGGUUCAAGGUUAGGGGUAACUUGGUUGAAGCCGACUGGAAAAAUGAGAGAGGGUGAUGUUAUAUAUUCUGUAGGAGGUUUAUGUUAUGCUAAAUACAAAUUAUGCUGGAAUGGCUUUGCUUCAUGUUUUAAUGUGUUGGUGGCCAUGGUUUGAUACAGACUUGCUGCAUGUCUAAGCUUGUUCUGGUGUGCAGGUUGGAUGCUAUUGAGUGUUGGCUGCAAUUCUGUUUUUUUGUAGGUGGCAAUCAUGGCAAGCUAUGGACUGUUUGGAGUGCAUGAGCUAACUUGGAAUCCAUGGAUUUUUGGGAUGCUUGUUGGACUAUAGCUUUUUUGUUGUAAAUUUAUGAUAAAGUGUGUAUUAUAAUGUGAUUGGAAUUUAAUGCUAGGUGUAAGAAUAUGGAAUGUGAAUUGAAUGAAUGAAUUAGUGUAAUGGUUUGAGUUGUAUUGAAGAUUAAUUUGGAAAUUGAAAUGGUAAUGAUCUGUAAAUGAUUUUUAUAGCAAA